GGAGUUAUGCCUGAGACAAAGGGCCACUUUGAUGCAGUGGAUCAUGAGGGUUAAAGUCCCUCCAACCCCA
rnacentral:tRNA from 1 species